GACGAACGCUGGCGGCGUGCUUAACACAUGCAAGUCGAGCGGUAAGGCCCUUCGGGGUACACGAGCGGCGAACGGGUGAGUAACACGUGAGUAAUCUGCCCUUCACUUCGGGAUAAGCACCGGAUACGGUGUCUAAUACCGAAUAUGAACCGCUUCCGCAUGGAUGGGGUUGGAAAGUUCCGGCGGUGAAGGAUGUGCUCGGGGCCUAUCAGUUUGUUGGGUAGGUAACGGCUCACCAAGGCUUCGACGGGUAGCCGGCCUGAGAGGGUGACCGGCCACACUGGGACUGAGACACGACCCAGACUCCUACGGGAGGCAGCAGUGGGGAAUAUUGGACAAUGGGCGAAAGCCUGAUCCAGCAACGACGCGUGAGGGAUGACUGCCUUCGGGUUGUAAACCUCUUUCAGUAGGGACGAAGCGCAAGUGACGGUACCUACAGAAGAAGCACCGGCCAACUACGUGCCAGCAGCCGCGGUAAGAC
rnacentral:rRNA from 1 species